GUCGGAGGGAGCAAGCGUUGUUCGGAAUCACUGGGCGUAAAGCGCGUGUAGGCGGUCCGAUAAGUCGAGUGUGAAAGCCCGAGGCUCAACCUCGGAAGUGCAUUCGAAACUGUCGGGCUUGAGUACGGGAGAGGGAAGUGGAAUUCCUGGUGUAGAGGUGAAAUUCGUAGAUAUCAGGAGGAACACCGGUGGCGAAGCCGGCUUCCUGGACCGAUACUGACGCUGAGACGCGAAAGCGUGGGGAGCAAACAGG
rnacentral:rRNA from 1 species